rnacentral:rRNA from 1 species
GAUGAACGCUGGCGGCGUGCCUAAUACAUGCAAGUCGAGCGAACAGACGAGGAGCUUGCUCCUCUGACGUUAGCGGCGGACGGGUGUGUAACACGUGGAUAACCUACCUAUAAGACUGGGAUAACUUCGGGAAACCGGAGCUAAUACCGGAUAAUAUAUUGAACCGCAUGGUUCAAUAGUGAAAGACGGUUUUGCUGUCACUUAUAGAUGGAUCCGCGCCUCAUUAGCUAGUUGGUAAGGUAACGGCUUACCAAGGCAACGAUGCGUAGCCGACCUGAGAGGGUGAUCGGCCACACUGGAACUGAGACACGGUCCAGACUCCUACGGGAGGCAGCAGUAGGGAAUCUUCCGCAAUGGGCGAAAGCCUGACGGAGCAACGCCGCGUGAGUGAUGAAGGUCUUCGGAUCGUAAAACUCUGUUAUUAGGGAAGAACAAAUGUGUAAGUAACUAUGCACGUCUUGACGGUACCUAAUCAGAAAGCCACGGCUAACUACGUG